AAUGUAAGCUCUCGUUGGUGACCAGCGGAGGGUCAUUACCGAGUUUACAACUCCCAAACCCCUGUGAACAUACCUUAUGUUGCCUCGGCGGAUCAGCCCGCGCCCCGUAAAAAGGGACGGCCCGCCGCAGGAACCCUAAACUCUGUUUUUAGUGGAACUUCUGAGUAUAAAAAACAAAUAAAUCAAAACUUUCAACAACGGAUCUCUUGGUUCUGGCAUCGAUGAAGAACGCAGCAAAAUGCGAUAAGUAAUGUGAAUUGCAGAAUUCAGUGAAUCAUCGAAUCUUUGAACGCACAUUGCGCCCGCCAGUAUUCUGGCGGGCAUGCCUGUUCGAGCGUCAUUUCAACCCUCAAGCCCAGCUUGGUGUUGGGAGCUGCAGUCCUGCUGCACUCCCCAAAUACAUUGGCGGUCACGUCGAGCUUCCAUAGCGUAGUAAUUUACACAUCGUUACUGGUAAUCGUCGCGGCCACGCCGUUAAACCCCAACUUCUGAAUGUUGACCUCGGAUCAGGUAGGAAUACCCGCUGAACUUAAGCAUAUCAAAAGGCCGGAGGA
rnacentral:rRNA from 1 species